rnacentral:ncRNA from 106 species
AGGUUUCCGUAGGUGAACCUGCGGAAGGAUCAUUA